rnacentral:rRNA from 1 species
GACGAACACUGGCGGCGUGCCUAAUACAUGCAAGUCGACCUUAGUGGCGAACGGUUGAGUAACACGUGGGUAACCUGCCCAUCAGAAGGGGAUAACCCUUGGAAACAGGUGCUAAUACCGUAUACUGAUGGAUGGACCCGUAGUGCAUUAGCUAGUUGGUGGGGUAACGGCUCACCAAGGCCACGAUGCAUAGCCGACCUGAGAGGGUGAUCGGCCACAUUGGGACUGAGACACGGCCCAGACUCCUACGGGAGGCAGCAGUAGGGAAUCUUCGGCAAUGGACGAAAGCCUGACCGAGCAAUGCCGCGUGAGUGAAGAAGGUUUUCGGGUCGUAAAGCUCUGUUGUUAGGGAGGCGGUAUCUAACCAGAAAGCCACGGCUAACUACGUGCCAGCAGCCGCGGUAAUAC